rnacentral:rRNA from 1 species
AGCGAACGCUGGCGGCAGGCCUAACACAUGCAAGUCGAACGAAGUCUUCGGACUUAGUGGCGGACGGGUGAGUAACACGUGGGAACGUACCUUUUGGUUCGGAACAACUCAGGGAAACUUGAGCUAAUACCGGAUGAGCCCUUAGGGGGAAAGAUUUAUCGCCGAAAGAGCGGCCCGCGUUAGAUUAGCUAGUCGGUGAGGUAAAGGCUCACCAAGGCUACGAUCUAUAGCUGGUCUGAGAGGAUGAUCAGCCACACUGGGACUGAGACACGGCCCAGACUCCUACGGGAGGCAGCAGUGGGGAAUCUUGCGCAAUGGGCGAAAGCCUGACGCAGCCAUGCCGCGUGAAUGAUGAAGGUCUUAGGAUUGUAAAAUUCUUUUACCAGGGACGAUAAUGACGGUACCUGGAGAAAAAGCCCCGGCUAACUUCGUGCCAGCCGCCGCUGUAACAC